rnacentral:rRNA from 1 species
UACGAAGGGGGGCUAGCGUUGCUCGGAAUCACUGGGCGUAAAGCGCACGUAGGCGGAUCUUUAAGUCAGGGGUGAAAUCCUGGAGCUCAACUCCAGAACUGCCUUUGAUACUGGGGAUCUCGAGUCCGGAAGAGGUGAGUGGAACUCCGAGUGUAGCGGUGAAAAUGCGUAGAUAUCGGAAGGAACAUCAGUGGCGAAAGCGGCUUCCUGGACCAGUACCGACGUUCAGGCACGAAAGCGUGGGGAGCAAACAGG